rnacentral:rRNA from 1 species
UACGUAGGGUGCAAGCGUUGUCCGGAAUUAUUGGGCGUAAAGAGCUCGUAGGCGGUUUGUCGCGUCUGCUGUGAAAACUCGGGGCUUAACUCCGGGCCUGCAGUGGGUACGGGCAGACUAGAGUGCGGUAGGGGAGACUGGAAUCCUGGUGUAGCGGUGAAAUGCGCAGAUAUCAGGAGAACACCGGUGGCGAAGGCGGCAUCCUGGACCAAUUCUGACGCUGAGUGAGCGAAGCCAGGGGAGCAAACGGG